ACCAGGACUUGACAUCCCGCUGAUCGGUCUAGAGAUAGACCUUCCCUUCGGGGCAGCGGUGACAGGUGGUGCAUGGUUGUCGUCAGCUCGUGUCGUGAGAUGUUGGGUUAAGUCCCGCAACGAGCGCAACCCUUACAUUGUGUUGCCAUCAUUUGGUUGGGCACUCACAAUGGACUGCCGGUGACAAACCGGAGGAAGGUGGGGAUGACGUCAAAUCAUCAUGCCCCUUAUGUCCUGGGCUACACACGUGCUACAAUGGGCGGUACAAAGGGAUGCGAGACCGUGAGGUGGAGCUAAUCUCAUAAAGCCGUUCGUAGUUCGGAUUGCAGGCUGCAACUCGCCUGCAUGAAGCCGGAAUUGCUAGUAAUCGCGGAUCAGCAUGCCGCGGUGAAUUCGUUCCCGGGCCUUGUACACACCGCCCGUCACACCAUGGGAGUUGGCAACACCCGAAGUCGGUGAGGUAACCUUUAUGGAGCCAGCCGCCUAAGGUGGGGUCGAUGANCUGGGGUGAAGUCGUAANCAAGGUAGCCGUAUCGGAAGGUGCGGCUGGAACACCU
rnacentral:rRNA from 1 species